rnacentral:rRNA from 1 species
UUCGCAAUGCCCGAAAGGGUGACGAAGCGACGCCGCGUGGGUGAGGAAGGCCUUCGGGUUGUAAAGCCCUGUCAGGAGUUAAGAAAUGUAAGUGCGCUAAUAUCGCAUUUAUUUGACGAAGGCUCCAAAGGAAGUCACGGCUAACUCUGUGCCAGCAGCCGCGGUAAUACAGAGGUGGCAAGCGUUGUUCGGAAUUAUUGGGCGUAAAGAGCACGUAGGUGGGUUUGUAAGUCAGAUGUGAAAGCCUUCUGUUCAACGGAAGAAUUGCACCUGAAACUGCGAGUCUUGAGUGUAGGAGGGGAGAAUGGAACUUCUGGUGGAGCGGUGAAAUGCGUAGAUAUCAGAAGGAACGCCGGCGGCGAAAGCGAUUCUCUGGCCUAUUACUGACACUCAGUGUGCGAAAGCUAGGGGAGCAAACGGGAUUAGAUACCCCGGUAGUCCUAGCCGUAAACGAUGGGCACUAAGUAGA